rnacentral:rRNA from 1 species
CCUACGGGAGGCAGCAGUGGGGGAUCUUGGACAAUGGGGGAAACCCUGAUCCAGCGACGCCGCGUGAGUGAAGAAGUAUUUCGGUAUGUAAAGCUCUGUCAGCAGGGAAGAAAGAAAUGACGGUACCUGACCAAGAAGCCUCGGCUAACUACGUGCCAGCAGCCGCGGUAAUACGUAGGGUGCAAGCGUUAUCCGGAAUUACUGGGUGUAAAGGGAGCGUAGACGGUGAUGCAAGUCUGGAGUGAAAGGCGGGGGCCCAACCCCCGGACUGCUCUGGAAACUGUGUAACUUGAGUGCAGGAAAGGUAAGCGGAAUUCGUAGUGUAGCGGUGAAAUGCGUAGAUAUUAGGAAGAACACCAGUGGCGAAGGCAGCUUACUGGACUGUAACUGACGUUGAAGCUCGAAAGCGUGGGGAGCGAACAGGAUUAGAUACCCCAGUAGUC